rnacentral:rRNA from 1 species
AACGUAGGGACAAGCGUUAUCCGGAUUUACUGGGCGUAAAGCGCCCGUAGGCGGCUUGAUAAGUUGGACGUGAAAGCUCCCGGCUUAACUGGGAGAGGCCGUUCAAAACUGUGAGGCUAGAGUGAGGCAGAGGAGCGCGGAAUUCCCGGUGUAGUGGUGGAAGUGCGUAGAGAUCGGGAGGAACACCAGUGGCGAAAGCGGCGCUCUGG